ACAAGACUAUCCCUCCAAAAUCAACCAGCUUUUUAUUAUUUUACUCCUAAUAUGACCUGUCUAUCAUGUGAUUGUCCACAUGUGCAUGCACAUAUUUAUGUAGCAGUAUUUCCUUCCCUUAUUUUAUAUAAGCAAGUCUCCUCCAAGUCUCCAACCACUAUUUGAUGUCGUUAGGUGGGCUAGGCAGUAGGAAUUAUAUACACUAGAAUCACAAGAUUGAGAGCUUGAGAGUGCUUUUAUUUUGCAGCUUUGUGGCUAGGUAGCUAGGCAUUCAUUGUUGAAUCAUGAAGAGAGAGAAGCGAGAGAAAGCCGAGAGAAUCAGAUUAAUUUCUUGGAGGAGGAAAAGGGAAAGAGGGCGUCUGGAAUGAAGUUAGAGUUUGUGAUAAAAGGCUCAACGAUCUGUAGUGAUCUCGGACCAGGCUUCAUUCCUCACGCCCAACUUUUCCAAGUUUCCAUCAGCCCCACACCCCUCAGGUCAGGAACAACCCUCUUAUACUGCUGGUACAUCACUGCAGGUAUAUCAUCUUCUACCCUCUGAUUCACAAAGUGAACGAAGAACAAAGUAACCAAUUGGUCAUUUCCUUUCAUAUCACAAAAAACUCACACUAGUUAGUUGUUACAAGAUCAGUGCUCAAAAUUUUCAGCAAAAAAAUGGUCUAACCAGGAACCAAAAAUCCACUUUCACGGACUCUUUGAUGAUAAAAGUAGUUCUGUACGUAUAUGCUUGUUAUUUUGUCUAGUAUGUCUUUGUUUUAUUGCCUCUUGUUUUUGGAUAAUUGAAUACGUAAUUAGUGGCUUCAGUUCAUUCACUGAGAAGUAGGGUUUUGUUUGCUUUGUUUUCCUUCUGUUGGUUGUCGCAUCUCCACGACCACCCCCCCCUUUCCCCACACCCAAAAGAGUGGUGCAAUGAUCGGAAAAAAAAAAAGUCACCACAUAAAAGUUACAGUGUAAACCAGAUCGACUAGUAAUAAACGCUGCUCACGUAAGAGAAGUGAAUAGCUUUUGAAAGCAUAAUUUAUAUUCUUGAUAGUGAAGCAUCAUAACAGACAAAACCAGCCUUGUUAGCAAUGCUAAGCAUCUUUGUUUCUGUGUCUCAGGUUUUCUCCUUUACUUUCUUGUUUUUUCUUUCUUUUGCAGAUUUUGGGAUGAGAUGCUAUGCAAAUGACAACACGAAGAAUUAGGCUAGUACCCUAAUUUUGCAAGGACAGAUUUGUUCUUCUUAUGUGUCAAUGACUGUAAUAUUUGAUGGCGAGUUUGCAGAUUUAUGCAGGUAUUUAGUCAGUAGUCGGGCAUCGUUUUUAACCUAUACCAGUGCGCAGCUAUGAAUCAUCACUGUUAACUAUGUAUGUUGCCUUCGUAUUUUGCUAAUCUCCAGUUUGUUAAUAACUAUAUAGGAAUUUUGCAUCUUUAUGAGGAACUAUAUCAUGAGAUUAAUAUAAAACUUGAGAUAUCAACUAUUCCUUGGGUCAUUGACUGAUGCUCAUUCUUGAACUUAUGAUUUGUAUUUCAUCCAAAAUGCCUGUUGGCUCUUCUUGGGGCAUUUCAUUUGUUGGUGUUCCGCCCCUCUUGGGCAAAUACUAAAAGAUAUAUAUAUGGGACUCUUUUGUA